CUAAGAGCAUUAUACCUCCAACUCACUGUUUGAAUUCUUAGAGCUGUGGUACCCCUUGGUUUCGUACCUGGUGGCGUUUGCUAGCAUCUAAGAAGAUGUGGAGACUCUUGGUGAUCGUGAUGUUGGCGGGAAGGCUGCGAUGUAGUUAGGCCUCCUAGGUCCUUUAUUGCUCAUUGUUGAG